GAUGAACGCUGGCGGCGUGCCUAAUACAUGCAAGUCGAGCGAACAGACGAGGAGCUUGCUCCUCUGACGUUAGCGGCGGACGGGUGAGUAACACGUGGAUAACCUACCUAUAAGACUGGGAUAACUUCGGGAAACCGGAGCUAAUACCGGAUAAUAUAUUGAACCGCAUGGUUCAAUAGUGAAAGACGGUUUUGCUGUCACUUAUAGAUGGAUCCGCGCCGCAUUAGCUAGUUGGUAAGGUAACGGCUUACCAAGGCGACGAUGCGUAGCCGACCUGAGAGGGUGAUCGGCCACACUGGAACUGAGACACGGUCCAGACUCCUACGGGAGGCAACAGUAGGGAAUCUUCCGCAAUGGGCGAAAGCCUGACGGAGCAACGCCGCGUGAGUGAUGAAGGUCUUCGGAUCGUAAAACUCUGUCAUUAGGGAAGAACAAAUGUGUAAGUAACUAUGCACGUCUUGACGGUACCUAAUCAGAAAGCCACGGCUAACUACGUG
rnacentral:rRNA from 1 species